AAAUAAUAGAAUAAAUGGUUUUUCAUUUUUGCAAAUUGUAAAGAACUCCUUUUGUGGGUUGUAAUAUUAAACCUCCAGAUUAAAUUUUGGGCAUAUGAAUCUCCAAGAGGAGCCAUAGAGUUCUUGAGCGAAAAGUAAUACUUUGGUUUCAACGAAGAAGUAAAAGAUUGUGUCCUUCCAAGGAAUGUUAAGGUAAACACUUCUAGGAAACUUCGUAAUACACGAUUGAGAAAGAUACCGUUUUUGUCGAGAUUUUAUUUCCACUUUGUCCUACCCCUUCACAGUCGCUCACUGAAGCAAACACCCCUUCUUGUAACAAACAGAGCUGAGUUCUAUCCUCUGUAGCUCGUCACUUGAAACAGUUUCCUGUAAACCAACCAAAAACUUCUUCAACUCUUCUUCAGCACGUUUGCUAAUUACCUUUCAGUGUGAGGAUGAAUACCGGUCCAGUAUGUAGAGUCAAGAUGCGUUCCAAGUCUAGUUUAGCAAAAUCUCUGUGCAUCAGUCUAGUUCUCUGAAACCAUCUUUUAAUCAUUUUAUUUCAGUUUACACUGGAGGGUUCAUUCUCAGAAACCACGUGCAGAUCAUGCUUCUCUGGGGCUUUCUUUGUCCCUCGAGUUCUAGGUUUUGCUUAUUCUUUGGCGCCUCAACAUAGACAAGCUCAGACUCCUCCUCGCUUUAUUGGCAACAAUAACAACAAAUUUCUCCAUUCACAUGAAGCGUUUAUUAGGUAGUAAGCAGAUGUUACCGAGGAGACCAAAACAACAACUGGGUGUAUGUGUGUCUGGGAAAUUGGAUGAAAUGAAAAGGUUUACAUCCUGACAAGUCAACGUCAAAUGAAACAACAGAUGAUCAAUAUGCCCUGUUACCUCACCACCUGUAACCUCACUCACUGCCCCUCUCUGUUUUUCUGGCCUUUCUCAUUUUUCCUGUUUCUUCGGCAUUUACAGCCAUCACUUCUUUUGAAGAGCUAUUACAGCAACUUUCUGCCCUUUCUUAGAUGGAACAUCUUUCUCCUCCCAAAUUCUUCCUUCCCAAUUCCCUUAGAUUCUAAUCUACCCUAAGGAAAAUGCUGACUUUUUAUCAGAUAUACUAUAAUUAUGAUAAGGAAACAAUGAAAUGGUAAACACAAAGACCGCCUAAGAAAAAGGGCACAUAUUUAUUGCAAGUGAUGAAAAUAAUGCAAACUAAAAUAAGACUUUCAUCCAGAAAAGCAUAUAAAAUCCAGGUAAGGAAUGCAGUCUUUCCCAUUCUCUGGAAAGCUCCUCCUGAACCAAAGGAGAAAGUUCUUUCCCUUUCUGCUCUCUUUCACUUAACUAUAGGGACUAUUUAGUGUUUUUCUUCCUAAGUCCUAUAUUCCCAUACACAGUAAUAGUGAGCACUGUUGUUUGAGCUUAUUAAUAGAUUGAACGACAUGUUCAUUCAUUCAGCAAACAGACAUGUUUAUCUGAAAUGGAGAUGCAAAAAUAAAUCAGACAUUUUGCCUUCAAAGGCAUUACAGUCCAAUGAUUAUCAUUUAAAUAAAUUAUACGUGUUGUCAGUAUUAUGAUAAGCCUGUGUUUUGAGUAGAGAGGGACCACACAAGAGGGUCUGGACAGUUUUUCACUGACAAUGUUUGGAUGUGGGUGACACAAGUUAUUUUUAAAAACAAAUAACUAUUAAGUGCUCUCAAGGUGGACAGUUCAACGCUGGGAAAAUGGAAGAUGCUUUUUUCAUGAAUGAAGGUAGGUUUUGGGUAAGGGGAAGGCCAGGUGUAGAGAGAGGAGAGAAAUGAUAGAAACCUAGAGUAAAGAUGAGGGAAAAGUAAAAGAGAAGAGAACUUUUUCUCAAUUUAUGCAGUCUACUGCAACACAUGUGAAUUACCGGCAGCAAUUUUCUCAGCAGGAUCUAGUGGAAUUUUGCUCUUUUCCUGCUUUCCAAAUUUACACUGACAGAAUACGAGCUAAUGGGGAGACGGAAUGGUGGAUCAGCGAGCUGGCGAUUAGUGGCUGUUAUGUGGAGUCAGGACGAGGUCAUCUACGUGAUGCUCGUGUCCAGAAGAGUCAUUGGCU
ensembl:lncRNA